CCUACGGGGGGCAGCAGUGAGGAAUAUUGGUCAAUGGGCGUAAGCCUGAACCAGCCAAGUCGCGUGAGGGAUGAAGGUUCUAUGGAUCGUAAACCUCUUUUAUAAGGGAAUAAAGUGUGGGACGUGUCCUGUUUUGUAUGUACCUUAUGAAUAAGGAUCGGCUAACUCCGUGCCAGCAGCCGCGGUAAUACGGAGGAUCCGAGCGUUAUCCGGAUUUAUUGGGUUUAAAGGGUGCGUAGGCGGCCUUUUAAGUCAACGGUGAAAGUCUGUGGCUCAACCAUAGAAUUGCCGUUGAAACUGGGAGGCUUGAGUAUGUUUGAGGCAGGCGGAAGGCGUGGUGUAGCGGUGAAAUGCUUAGAUAUCACGCAGAACCCCGAUUGCGAAGGCAGCCUGCCAAGCCAUGACUGACGCUGAUGCACGAAAGCGUGGGGAUCAAACAGGAUUAGAUACCCCAGUAGUC
rnacentral:rRNA from 1 species